UCAACUGCGAUUCUUUUGGGGGAAAAAAACCUUUAUUGAUAUAAAGUAAUUUUUACUGAAGUCUUUGUGUUUCCUUAAACUUGUUCACAAUCUACUGAAGCGUUUGCAUAGAGAGUGUGUUUUACAUGAGCGACACACACUUCAGUGCUCUGCAUGUGUUUAUAACUGUCAAACAUGAUCAACAACUGUUUUUCACUAGAACUGAACCUACAACCAACAAAAAUGACUUUCAGCACCAUAUUGAUCUGGACGCUGGCAGUAUUAUGUCGAGAAUCUGUUGGUCAGGUGACAGUGACUCAAACUCCCUCAGAGCUGCUCUCUCAAACUGGACAAUCGGUCACUGUGACCUGUAAAUUUAACAGUGAUGUGAACUGCUGUCACAAUGGACACCAUUUUCUUAGCUGGUACUUAAAAAAACCUGGAGAAGCUCCUAAACUCCUGAUUUAUGGAGCAAUUAGUCAGCGGUCGGGGAUUCCAUCUAGAUUCAGUGGCAGUAGAUCAUCUGGGAGAGAUUUCACUCUGACCAUCAGAGGAGUCCAGAAUGAAGAUGCUGGACAUUAUUACUGUAUGAGUGACCACUACAUCAACAGUAAAGAUGUGUUCACACAGUGAUAAAGAGUCGUACAAAAACCUCCGUCAGUCAGAGUCACAGUGACUGAACUGAUACUGCAGCUGCUCAAAGGAGGAUCUGAAACAACAUCGUCACACAAACAUCUGAAAUAAAAUCAUCUAAAUUAAUCUGCCACUCUUAAUAAUUAUAGAGGUCAGAAAGAGAUUUUGUGCUCUUAUAGAUCA